CGGAACGAGGAAAAGAACGGGGAACGCUUUUACCCUCGGUCGUUACAGAAGUAACCCUUUGAAGCCUCUGCCUUUAGUGGAACUGGGCAAGGGAAACUUUCGGUCCUCCUUGUCGGGGACAGCACUCACGCAUUUCAAUGACCCCGGCUUGUAAAGCCUCAACGGGCACUUAGUUGAGAGUCAGCCCCGCUUAGAAUGCAACCCUGCAUAGAGCAUCCUGCAAUUUCCAUUGAAAGCAAAUUGAGAUUUUUCCUCACCCCGACAGCAAUUUCAGGACAUACCAUGUCUUCCUCUUCUUUGGGAUCCAACUCCGAACCACGGCCUUAUUUUGUCUCCUAUUUCUGUUCCAUGGAGAAAUGAGCGGGAUCAAUACAAUUAUCAUCCAUGGUGUUUGUAGUAAACAGUAUUUGCUUCUCUUGUUUAGCUAACUCAGAAUCCAAUUGUCUCCUGCAUAUUAGCCACUCAGCCUGAGGGACCAAGAAAACAAUUGGCAUUUGUGGAAGGCCACUGAGUUUAUCACAUGGAUGGCACAACAGUCAGCCUUGGGUUCAGAGUCGCUGUGGGGAAGCAACUCAUCUCCAAUCCAAGGAGGCUUCAGACAAUUGUCAUUAAUAAAGGUUUUGCUAUAACCAAUGUUGGGAGUACUGGGCACUAACAUGCUUGAACAAUACACAAUUUUAAAUCAGGA